GCAAUCUCCUUACUACAUGCUCUGUCACAGCAGCAGUUGAUGUCACACACACCCAUAAGCUUGUCACAGGGACACAAGCUUCCAACUGAAACACACAGCAACGCUCAGGUCUUGGAGGAGAGAAUGCCCCAGCCUUGCAGAGACAUGCAGACAGGCGGAGGAGAUGUGCAGGAAAAGUAUUUAUUUGGCACAGAUAUCUUAUUUUACAAAUAUUACUGGGUAUAUUCCAUAUUCCAAAAAAACAAAUAUUGACUUUAUCAUAAUUUAGAAUACAUUCAAGUAUUACUUUUUAUUUGAAAAACAGAUACAAUUUGUCUUUCCAAAUUGAGUAUUAUAUAAACACAUCUCCCUGAAGUGAUUACUUACGAGUCCAUUUAGAAUUUAGCCCACAAAGUAUUUGCUGUACUCGUAUGUCAAUUUAUAAUGUUGUGUUUAUAGCUGGAUUGAUGUUUUGUUGUCUACAAGACAAACAAAAGCACAACAAAAUAUCACAUUUUCACCUCAUAGGGAUUUGUUAGCAAACUGUAUUUACAUAUUGAAGCAGAUAUACAUAUGCAUUUUUUGGAGCCUGUAUUUUGCCUAGCCCUGGCAGUAGCUUAGACAUGUUCUCGCUUAACCAUUGAUUUGUAUUGGAUUGAAAGCUUAAACUCAGACUGCGUUCAAUGUUAAAAUUUCGGGUUGCAGUGGUUUGGUUUUUCACAAGAUGGCAGUGAAAGCCAGUGCAACACUUAAGUACUAAUAUUAUCAGGCUUUUAUCAAAUGGAGAACAAUGCGCUAUGUACAGUGCAUCCAGAAAGUAUUCACAGCGCUUCACUUUUUCCACACUGUUAUGUUACAGCCUUAUUCCAAAAUGGAUUAAAUUAAUUAUUUUCCCCAACCUUCUAGACACAACUCAUAAUGACAAAGUGAAAACUGAUUUUUGCAAAUCUGUUAAAAAUAAAGAAUGAAAACAUAACAUGUA